rnacentral:sRNA from 1 species
GUAAAUAGUACUGGCCGGCGGGGGCGUGGCACCCUGGGACGGCCUCCACCUGGACGGGGACGGAACCCAGGUGGGGGCACCCUGCGGCCUGCAGCCUCCCUGCCUCACAUUGCUAAGACUCAAAGGGAUGCAGGCCAUAUUGCCAGCAAGAGCCCCUGCAUGUUGGUGGCCCUGCGGCCAACCAACAUGGACCGUGAGCGAGACAAGUUCUUCCAGUCCCAUUACACCUACAAUCCACAGUUUGAGUACCAGGAGCCCAUGCCCACGGCUGUGCUGGAGAAGUACUGCGAGGCCUCUGGACAGUUCAUCCAUCAGGCAGUUGGCAUCAUUGAGGCUGUUCUGGAGAAGUUUGGAACCUAUGAACACUUUGAGGCUGCCACUGGGGGGCAGCUGCUCACCAAGUGCCAGAUAUGGUCGAUUGUGCGCAAAUACAUGCAGAAGGAGGGCUGCGUCGGGGAGGUUGUGGUGCAGCUGAGUGAGGACCUGCUGUCCCAGGCAGUGAUGAUGGUGGAGAACAGCCGGCCCACAUUGGCGAUCAACCUGACCGGAGCCCGCCAGUACUGGUUGGAGGGCAUGUUGCGGCAUGAGAUAGGUCAGGGUGUGGGUAUCCGGGAAGAUGGGCACCCACUACCUGCGGGGCGUGAACAACGCGCGCCAGCCGUGGCACAACGCGGAGGGCC